rnacentral:lncRNA from 1 species
UACAUUAGAUUUUGUCGAGAUAUAAACAAAACCAAAAGGAGCUUUCCAUUCAAAUAAUGGACACCAAAUAAAACAGUUUUGUUCCAUACAAAAUUUGGUUAUAGUUACAUAAUAAUAAUAAGAAUAAUGAUAAUUAAAAAUGUUACAAGUUAAGAUGAAAAUAAAAAUCCCUCUUUGCACACUCUCCUUCCCCGGGGUAUUGUACCCUAUCUCUUCUUCAUGUAUUUCUUCAUUAACCACCACCAGGCUCAAUACUCCUGCAGACGAGAACAACAAA